UUUUAACAAUGGUCACCUUAAGCUC
rnacentral:piRNA from 1 species